rnacentral:tRNA from 1 species
GGAGAUGGGCUGUGGCUCAACGGCAAAGCAUCUCUUUGGUAUGCGGAAGGUCGCCGGUUCAAUCCCUGCCAUCUCCA